GCGAAAGUGGCGGAAUUGGCAGACGCGCUGGCCUUAGGAGCCAGUGGGCUAACGCCCGUGUGGGUUCGAGUCCCACCUUUCGCACCA
rnacentral:tRNA from 2 species